rnacentral:rRNA from 1 species
AACGAACGCUGGCGGCAGGCUUAACACAUGCAAGUCGAGCGCAUCCUUCGGGGUGAGCGGCGGACGGGUGAGUAACGCGUGGGAACGUGCCCUCUUCUACGGAAUAGCCUCGGGAAACUGAGAGUAAUGCCGUAUACGCCCGCAAGGGGAAAGAUUUAUCGGAGGAGGAUCGGCCCGCGUUGGAUUAGGUAGUUGGUGGGGUAACGGCCUACCAAGCCGACGAUCCAUAGCUGGUUUGAGAGGAUGAUCAGCCACACUGGGACUGAGACACGGCCCAGACUCCCACGGGAGGCAGGCGGGGGGAAUCUUUGACAAUGGGGGCAAACCUGGUCCAGCCAUGCCGCGUGAUCGAUGAAGGCCUUAGGGUUGUAAAGAUCUUUCAGCUGGGAAGAUAAUGACGGUACCAGCAGAAGAAGCCCCGGCUAACUCCGUG